rnacentral:tRNA from 1 species
GGCGCGGUAGCCAAGUGGCUUAGGCGGCGCUCUGCAAAAGCGCAUACGUGGGUUCGAUUCCCGCCCGCGCCU